rnacentral:rRNA from 1 species
UACGUAGGCAGCAAGCGUUGUUCGGAAUUACUGGGCGUAAAGAGUGUGUAGGCGGUGUUCUAAGUCUGUUGUGAAAUCUCCCGGCUUAACCGGGGGGGUGCGGCGGAAACUGGAAUGCUAGAGGAUGGGAGAGGUAAGCGGAAUUCCUGGUGUAGCGGUGAAAUGCGUAGAUAUCAGGAGGAACACCUGUGGUGUAGACAGCUUACUGGACCAUUUCUGACGCUGAGACACGAAAGCGUGGGUAGCAAACAGG